GACAGAGGAUGCAAGCGUUAUCCGGAAUGAUUGGGCGUAAAGCGUCUGUAGGUGGCUUUUUAAGUCUGCCGUCAAAUCCCAGGGCUUAACCCUGGACAGGCGGUGGAAACUACCAAGCUGGAGUACGGUAGGGGCAGGGGGGAAUUUCCGGUGGAGCGGUGAAAUGCGUAGAGAUCGGAAAGAACACCAACGGCGAAAGCACUCUGCUGGGCCGACACUGACACUGAGAGACGAAAGCUAGGGGAGCGAAUGGG
rnacentral:rRNA from 1 species